CUUCCGUAGGGGUGACCUGCGGAAGGAUCAUUACCGAGUUUUCGGGCUUCGGCUCGACUCUCCCACCCUUUGUGAACGUACCUCUGUUGCUUUGGCGGCUCCGGCCGCCAAAGGACCUCCAAACUCCAGUCAGUAAACGCAGACGUCUGAUAAACAAGUUAAUAAACUAAAACUUUCAACAACGGAUCUCUUGGUUCUGGCAUCGAUGAAGAACGCAGCGAAAUGCGAUAAGUAAUGUGAAUUGCAGAAUUCAGUGAAUCAUCGAAUCUUUGAACGCACAUUGCGCCCCUUGGUAUUCCGGGGGGCAUGCCUGUUCGAGCGUCAUUACAACCCUCAAGCUCUGCUUGGAAUUGGGCACCGUCCUCACUGCGGACGCGCCUCAAAGACCUCGGCGGUGGCUGUUCAGCCCUCAAGCGUAGUAGAAUACACCUCGCUUUGGAGUGGUUGGCGUCGCCCGCCGGACGAACCUUCUGAACUUUUCUCAAGGUUGACCUCGGAUCAGGUAGGGAUACCCGCUGAACUUAAGCAUAUCAAUAAGGCCGGAGGAA
rnacentral:rRNA from 1 species